AAAGUACUCCCUCCGUCCCAAAAUUCUUGUCUUAGAUUUGUCUAGAUACGGAUGUAUGAAGUCACAUUUUAGUAUUAGAUAUAUCCGUAUCUAGACAAAUCUAAGACAAGAAAUUUGGGACAGAGGGAGUAGUUG
rnacentral:pre_miRNA from 1 species